rnacentral:rRNA from 1 species
UUUGAUGGCGACCGGCGCACGGGUGAGUAACACGUAUCCAACCUGCCGAUGACUCGGGGAUAGCCUUUCGAAAGAAAGAUUAAUACCCGAUGGCAUAGUUCUUCCGCAUGGUGGAACUAUUAAAGAAUUUCGGUCAUCGAUGGGGAUGCGUUCCAUUAGGUUGUUGGCGGGGUAACGGCCCACCAAGCCUUCGAUGGAUAGGGGUUCUGAGAGGAAGGUCCCCCACAUUGGAACUGAGACACGGUCCAA